rnacentral:rRNA from 1 species
CGAAUAGGUCUCCGUUUGGUGACCAGCGGAGGGACAUUACCGAGUUUACAACUCCCAAACCCCUGUGAACAUACCAAUUGUUGCCUCGGCGGAUCAGCCCGCUCCCGGUAAAACGGGACGGCCCGCCAGAGGACCCCCAAACUCUGUUUCUAUAUGUAACUUCUGAGUAAAACCAUAAAUAAAUCAAAACUUUCAACAACGGAUCUCUUGGUUCUGGCAUCGAUGAAGAACGCAGCAAAAUGCGAUAAGUAAUGUGAAUUGCAGAAUUCAUUGAAUCAUCGAAUCUUUGAACGCACAUUGCGCCCGCCAGUAUUCUGGCGGGCAUGCCUGUUCGAGCGUCAUUUCAACCCUCAAGCCCAGCUUGGAGUUGAGACUCGCGAGUCAAAUCGCGUUCCCCAAAUUGAUUGGCGGUCACGUCGAGCUUCCAUAGCGUAGUACUAAGACCCUCGUUACUGGUAAUCGUCGCGGCCACGCCGUUAAACCCCAACUUCUGAAUGUUGACCUCGGAUCACGUAGGAAUACCCGCUGAACUUAAGCAUAUCAAUAAGCGGGAAGAAA